UUUCUUUUCGUUGAUUGCAACAUGCAGCGGAGUACUGUCAUCGACGAAGAGCCCAACUCCUUUAGAGUUAAUCCAGUAUGGUUCAAGUACGUUGCCAAAAGAUGACUUUUCCGGAACGAUAUCAUUUGAAAUGAACGGUUGCAUCGGCAGGUCCACGUCAUUUAGAGGCCAUCUCUGUGUGUGCAAUUCUGCCCCACCGUACCAAGCGGCACCAUCUAGUGGAAUACACGAGGUUGGAAGUGUGUUCGAUGUUGGUCUCGAACUGAAAUUCAUCUCAAAACAUCCAUGGCCUUUUAGGGCUUUCCUUUUCACGACUGCUUUAAUGGAAUCCCCCCACGUCAGGCAAAAGUCGCCUCGAGAUUCACGACAGUCGGUCGAUGGAAGAGAUUUUAGGGAACUCGGGAGGAAUUGUUCUAUGAAUUUGACUCCGUUUUCCGUGAUGGCCAGACUGACAGAAUCCUCGUUAUACACUAGUUUUCUUCUCACGGCUCCACAACCGUCAGCAUCACAGUAGUCACCGCUAUCCCCCACGUUGUCCCCUCCAUCGUUUUGUGUCCCCAAUGAGAGGCCAACCAAGAACAACACUAUGCUACAGCGUCUAACUAUCGGUCCGGUUUGCAACGACAUUUUACAGAAGGUUAUUAAUUACUUCUUUCCGGAGUUGCAACUGCAAAGGAAAUAUUUAGUGACUGAAUGCCAAUAUCAGAUCAGACAAAAUAAAGCAAUCUAGUUGUAAUUUGAUCUAAUUGUUGUUAGAGGACUCUACAUAAUAUACAUGUACCUUCAGUGGUAUAUAACGUCGACUUCAUUACUGAUACCCCCGUGCCUGUUUACAGAGAACUUUAAAUUCUUCAGGUACCAUUGGCAGAGACGAGAAGCUAGAUCCGCACACUGGUUCGGUAUUCAGCACGUCGAUUAUGUGUGCAAACACGCAAUGACAGACACACAAAGAGUAAACCUUAGACGUGUGUAAAUACGAUAAUACGCUUGUAGGACCUUAUCUUACCGGAACCCAAUAUCGCUAGCUUUGCUUUAAAACCCGAGAUGUUUGAUAGCCACCGGAACUUGAACAGAACAUUAAAACUUUUUUCCUACCAAUGACAUUUGAAUAAUUACAUGUAUUAUGCAAUAUACUGAUUAACCGAU
rnacentral:sRNA from 1 species